GUGGCCGUGCGCAAAAUGUGCGCGAAAG
rnacentral:sRNA from 1 species